rnacentral:rRNA from 1 species
GUUGACCUCGGAUCACGAAUACAGACUACUGACGCAUAUCAAUAAGCGGAGGA